UCAAAUUUAAAUUUCACUAAAUCGCACAUAAUCACAUUAAAUUCAUUUUCUACAAAUUCACACAUCAAAUACAUCAAAUUUCUUUUUCACAAAAUCACAAAUAAUGUCCUAAAUGCAAACUAAAAGUUUGGAAGGAGCCCUUAUCUCCGUUGUAGCUUUAACGAUCGACUACGGUACCGCGAUUAAUUUCGGUGAAAACUGCGCUUGCGUCGUCGCUUCCAAAGUUGGCUCACUAGCACCGUAGCGUGGAGAUGAACAACUUUCUCUUCUGUCACUUCUCGAAUCGAAGCUUAGAUCUAGGAGAAAAGUGAAGAUUUUUGUGUUCGUUGGUUUUGAAAGCAAAGAAAAUUUGGAAAACAGAUAAGGAGAAAGAAGAAGAUGGAAG
rnacentral:lncRNA from 1 species